rnacentral:rRNA from 1 species
UACGAAGGGGGCUAGCGUUGUUCGGAUUUACUGGGCGUAAAGCGCACGUAGGCGGAUCGUUAAGUCAGGGGUGAAAUCCUGGAGCUCAACUCCGGAACUGCCUUUGAUACUGGCGAUCUUGAGUCCGGAAGAGGUGAGUGGAACUCCUAGUGUAGAGGUGGAAUUCGUAGAUAUUAGGAAGAACACCAGUGGCGAAGGCGGCUCACUGGUCCGGUACUGACGCUGAGGUGCGAAAGCGUGGGGAGCAAACAGG